UACGUAGGGUGCGAGCGUUGCCCGGAUUUAUUGGGCGUAAAGGGCGCGUAGGCGGCUCUGCACGUUCGUUGUGAAAUCGCCCGGCUCAACUGGGCGGGGUCAGCGGAUACGGCAGAGCUUGAGCAAGCUAGGGGGCAAUGGAAUUCCCGGUGUAGUGGUGAAAUGCGUAGAGAUCGGGAGGAACACCAGAGGCGAAGGCGGCGACCUGGACAGUGACUGACACUCAACUGCGAAAGCGUGGUGAGCAAACAGG
rnacentral:rRNA from 1 species